rnacentral:misc_RNA from 1 species
AGCAAUUAGGACAAAAACAUAACGCAGGGAAAGAGGUGGUUCCAGUUGAUGUGAAAGAAAGAACUCAUGAGAAGGUGAGAGUGAGAGGUGCAUAUAGGGGAAAGAAAAAUAGCAGUAAACAGAUGGUUGAUAGGGUUGGAGAAGUGAGCGAUAAAGCAGACAGUGUGGAGCAAUUAGGACAAGAAUGCAAUGCAGAAAAGGAGAAAGUUUUAGUUGAUUUGAAAGAAAGAACUAAAGAGAAGGUAACAGUGAGUGGUGCAUUUCGUGCAUACAGUGCUAAGGAGGCCGAAGAAGUGGCUAUUGUUUGCACAGUGAAGGUGGUAGAAGAAAACAAGGUAGAUAGGGAAAUCUCAGGGAAGAAACAUAGAGUUGGUUUUAAGGGAAAGAAACCCAGCUGGAGAAAGAUUGGUGAUAGAGUUGAAGAAGUGAGCGAUAAAGCAAACAGUGUGGAGCAAUCAGUCCGAGAAUGUAAUGCAGAAAAGGAGAAGGUUUCAGUUGAUGUGAAAGAAAGAACUAAUGAGAAGGUGAG